GAUGAAGAACGCAGCGAAAUGCGAUAAGUAGUGUGAAUUGCAGAAUUCCGUGAAUCAUCGAAUCUUUGAACGCACAUUGCGCCUUCUGGUAUUCCGGAAGGCAUGCCUGUUCGAGAGUCAUUAACAACCGUUUCGAUCCCUUUCUUUCAGAAAUUACAAAGAGGAAAAGGGUUUGGUUAUGGUGGGGGAGGGAAAGGGAGCGUUUAGCCUGUAAAAUAAGAGGCUGUGUUCCGCCUCCCCCCCAAAAUUGUACAGGCGGUCGUGUGCGCCCACGCAUCGAGGUGUUGUAAAAGCUGCCACGGCACUUUUCACCUGUGCAGUGCGAGAUUGGCCAGCCGGUUUAAAAACCCCUCCAAACAAUCAAAGGUUGACCUCGGAUCAGGUAGGGAUACCCGCUGAACUUAAGCAUAUCAAUAAGCGGAGGA
rnacentral:misc_RNA from 1 species